rnacentral:rRNA from 1 species
GGGCCCGCACAAGCGGUGGAGCAUGUGGUUUAAUUCGAAGAUACGCGCAGAACCUUACCAACACUUGACAUGUUCGUCGCGACUUUGAGAGAUCAAAGUUUUUCGGUUCGGCCGGACGAAACACAGGUGCUGCAUGGCUGUCGUCAGCUCGUGUCGUGAGAUGUUGGUUAAGUCCCGCAACGAGCGCAACCCUCACUUUUAGUUGCCAUCAUUAAGUUGGGCACUCUGAAAGAACUGCCAGUGAUAAGCUGGAGGAAGGUGGGGAUGACGUCAAGUCCUCAUGGCCCUUACGUGUUGGGCUACACACGUGCUACAAUGGUAUCUACAGAGGGCGGCAAACCCGCGAGGGGGAGCG